rnacentral:rRNA from 1 species
AAAGACUUAGUCCUAACCUUACUGUUAAUUUUCGCUAGACAUAUACAUGCAAGUAUCCGCACCCCAGUGUAAAUGCCCUUAAUGUCUCCCCAUUAGACAAAAGGAGCAGGUAUCAGGCACACUAUCUAUGUAGCCCAAAACGCCUUGCUUAGCCACACCCCCACGGGUACUCAGCAGUAAUUAACAUUAAGCAAUAAGUGUAAACUUGACUUAGCCAUGGCGACCCCCAAGGGUUGGUAAAUCUUGUGCCAGCCACCGCGGUCACACAAGAGACCCAAACUAACAGUAGCCGGCGUAAAGAGUGGUAAUAUGUUAUCCAACCAAAUUAAGACCCAAACACAGCUAAGCUGUCACAAGCCCAAGAUGUUCCUAAAAUCACCAUAAAAAUGGUCUUAACACCCACGAUCAAUUUCACCCCACGAAAGCUAAGGCACAAACUGGGAUUAGAUACCCCACUAUGCUUAGCCUUAAAUCAUGAUACUUACCCCACCUAAGUAUCCGCCCGAGAACUACGAGCACAAACGCUUAAAACUCUAAGGACUUGGCGGUGCCCUAAA